rnacentral:rRNA from 1 species
UACGUAGGGUGCAAGCGUUGUCCGGAAUUAUUGGGCGUAAAGAGCUCGUAGGCGGUCCGUCACGUCGGCUGUGAAAACCCGGGGCUCAACUCCGGGCCUGCAGUCGAUACGGGCGGACUAGAGUACUGCAGGGGAGACUGGAAUUCCUGGUGUAGCGGUGAAAUGCGCAGAUAUCAGGAGGAACACCGGUGGCGAAGGCGGGUCUCUGGGCAGUAACUGACGUGGAGGAGCGAAAGCCGUGGGGAGCGAACAGG